rnacentral:tRNA from 1 species
UGGGAUUUAGCUCAGCGGCAUAAGCGCCUGCCUUGCAAGCAGGUAGUCGUGAGUUCAAUCCCCAGUACCAA